UGGUUUAUGUGAAAGAUGUUUAUUUUCUUUCAAACAAUAUUAAAACAAAUAAAUUACGUGCAGUUGAGUAACACAAUGAGCACAUAAUACAGUUAACCUUUUAAAAGGCACUUCUGGCAUAAUCACUAAAGUAAUAUAGACAAUUAGACAAUUAUUUGCUUUGACACUUUAUUAAUUUGACCAUUCAUUUCAAUUUUCUUUUAAUGUUCUUCAGUGAAUUGUUUCAUUUAUAAACACUUCAAAGUUCCAUCAUAAAAUAUGCCUAGAUUAACUGACUUAUCUUAAUUCUAUUUACUAUGGAACCUAUCACCAAAAAAAUCUAAUUUAAAGGACAUUUUAAAAUGUUAUCCUUUAUUUGGGUACUAAACUAAUCACUCCUCCACAGAGUCAUAAGAAAGUGUUUGAAAUAAACAAAAAUAAAUGAAGUGGAACUGGUGAUUGAUAUAAAUCUUCUAGAAACAAAAGUUGGGUAAGCCAGAGGUUUUUUGUUAUUGACACUGUUUAUUCUUUUUAAGUGAUUUUGUUCUUUUAUUAUUUUUAAUUAUACAAUUUUAAAUAGUAUGCUUUUAUUUUAAAAUACUUUAAAGUGUUUUUUAGAAAACAGGCAGGGUCCAGUUUUUUUUUUUUUUUUUUUUUUUUUUUUUGAG
rnacentral:lncRNA from 10 species